rnacentral:rRNA from 1 species
UACGGAGGGUGCGAGCGUUGUCCGGAAUCAUUGGGCGUAAAGGGUGCGUAGGUGGCGCCAUAAGUCAGGUGUGAAAUCUCGGGGCUUAACUCCGAAACUGCAUUUGAUACUGUGGUGCUUGAGGACUGGAGAGGAGACUGGAAUUCACGGUGUAGCAGUGAAAUGCGUAGAUAUCGUGAGGAAGACCAGUGGCGAAGGCGGGUCUCUGGACAGUUCCUGACACUGAGGCACGAAGGCCAGGGGAGCAAACGGG